rnacentral:rRNA from 1 species
UACGUAGGGGGCAAGCGUUGUCCGGAAUUAUUGGGCGUAAAGCGCGCGCAGGCGGCUGUUUAAGUCUGGUGUUUAAUCCUGGGGCUCAACCCCGGGUCGCACUGGAAACUGGACGGCUUGAGUGCAGAAGAGGAGAGUGGAAUUCCACGUGUAGCGGUGAAAUGCGUAGAGAUGUGGAGGAACACCAGUGGCGAAGGCGACUCUCUGGGCUGUAACUGACGCUGAGGCGCGAAAGCGUGGGGAGCAAACAGGAUUAGAUACCCUGGUAGUCCACGCCGUAAACGAUGAGUGCUAGGUGUUAGGGGUUUCGAUACCCUUGGUGCCGAAGUAAACACAUUAAGCACUCCGCCUGGGGAGUACGGCCGCAAGGCUGAA